rnacentral:ncRNA from 1 species
UACCCAGUUUUGGGGACCUUGGUACAGGCAGGCCGGGGAAUCCCCUUCUUUACAUCCGGGACUCAUACCGCUCAGAGCGACGGGUCCCACAAGUUUUGGAGACCCCGGUACAGGCAGGCCGGGAAUCUCCAGCUUUGACCCGGGAUCCACGCCUCCCAGAGUGGGCAAAUCCCAGCUGUUUCGGGGACCUCGGUACAGGCAGGCCGAGACUCCCCUCUUUACAUCCGGGGCU